AGCUUGCACGUUCCUAUAAUAAUCAUACGACGAACUUGUUUCUCCCUUCUUCCUUUCCUUUCACGUUUCCCCCCAUUAUUACUUCUUCUUUUUUUCCUCUCUUCAGUUAUAUCUUUUCCCCAGAAUUUGAGAUCCUUUCUUUGCACAAACGUAACUAUAUUCUCCUUUCCUUUUGUAGAAUCUCCGCACCAUUAUCUUCUUCUCCAUAAUAUUUAUGCCAUAUUUUAAUUCCCAUUCAAUUUUUUAUUCACAAAUUUCACUGCAGUUCUUCAAAUCCCUUUGAAUCAUUUCUCACAUAGAUCCCAAGUUUUUUUUGGUUCUUUAGCUUCUCCCAUUUCAAGGCAUUUUGAAGAAAGAUGUUGGGAGAAUUCAUCACCAGCAGUUUAGUAUUGGUUCUUGGAUAUGCAUACCCUGCUUUUGAAUGUUUUAAGACUAUUGANA